ACGAGCGCUCUUGUCAAAAUGCCAGCACGGUAAUGCUGGGAACUCUAGGGAGACUGCCGGUGACAAACCGGAGGAAGGUGGGGACGACGUCAAGUCAUCGUGGCCCUUACGGCCUGGGCUACACACGUGCUACAAUGGGCAGAACAGAGGGCAGCAAAGUCGCGAGGCCACGCACAUCCCUUAAAACUGUUCGUAAUCCGGAUUGGAGUCUGCAACUCGACUCCGUGAAGUCGGGAGUCGCAUAGUAAUCGCGGAUCACAAUGCCNGCGGUGUAGUACGUUCCCGGACCGUUGUACACACCG
rnacentral:rRNA from 1 species